rnacentral:rRNA from 1 species
AUGGCGACGAUCGUCAACACCACGGAGGAGGAGCCGAUGCUGGCGGUGGUGCGCUCCACGGCGGAGCUCGCCUGGGCCGACGUGGGCGCCGAGGCGCAGCAGCACGUCCUCGCCGGCCGCUGGCUCGACAUGGCCGCCCUCAUGCUCGCCUCCGCCGACCUCCUCCUCCUCGCCCCACGCCUCUCCGACAAAGGCACCUCCCCCCUCCCCCUCCCCUCUCCUUCCCCAUCCCUAUCGAUUUCUUAUCUCGAGUGCUCCCUCACCGUCAUCUGCAACCUCGUCACCAAGGCCGGAUCCGAGGACGAGGCGCUGGAGAUCGCCAGGCUCAUCUGCGCCAAGCUCACCCACCAGUCGGGCGAGAAGCCCAUGCUGCGCAUCAAAGUCCUGUUCAGCCUGUACAACCUACUGGCGAGCCUCUCCGGCAAGGCCUUGGUCUACAGGAAGGCGCUCGAGCUUGCCGCCGCCGGGAAGGCCGCCGACUGCGUCGUGCCCACCUUCAAGAACAUCGACGCCUUUGUUGCCUACUGGGGCAUCGGCAAGCCGGAGCAGAGGGACCUGUUCCUUGCCGUCACCAGGAUUCUUAAAGACCAGAAGGGCAUGACCAAGGAGUACUUCAAGUUUCUGAACAAGUACCUGGCUACAUUCGAUGGUUCGUCUGAUGAGGCCGACGCAAUUGGUGCAGCGAAGGAAGAAGCUGCUGCAGCAAUCAUUGAGUUUGUCAAGUCAUCUGACCUCUAUCAGGUACUUUUAUCCUCCAGCUCACAUCUCCGUCUUAGGUCUUGUGUUCGUGUGGAAAAAUCUCCAAUCAAAUAUCACUAUAUUAGAUACUCCUCUGUAAAGAAAUAUAAGAUCGAUCAUAGAUCACCAAACCGACAUACUGCGAGGGUCUUCGGGAUGCCACAAUGGCAGAGUCUACGUUCAAAGCUUAGAGUGUGGAGGGGAAACAUUGCAAAUGCUAUCAACACGAUCCAAGCUAACAAGGUGACUGAAGAUGGCGGGCAGGGGAUGCAGGAUUGA